AAAAUCGUAAGUUAUUCACUUAUUUAGUGUUUUCAAGGCACUUGACACGAUUU
rnacentral:tRNA from 1 species